UACGGAGGAUCCAAGCGUUAUCCGGAUUUAUUGGGUUUAAAGGGUGCGUAGGCGGACUUGUAAGUCAGUGGUGAAAGCCCGCAGCUCAACUGCGGAACUGCCAUUGAUACUGCUAGUCUUGAGUAUAGUUGAGGUGGGCGGAAUGUGUCAUGUAGCGGUGAAAUGCUUAGAUAUGACACAGAACACCGAUUGCGAAGGCAGCUCGCUAAACUAUAACUGACGCUGAGGCACGAAAGUGUGGGUAGCAAACAGG
rnacentral:rRNA from 1 species